GACGAACGCUGGCGGCGUGCUUAACACAUGCAAGUCGAACGGUGACCCAGGGCUUGCCCUGGUGAUCAGUGGCGAACGGGUGAGUAACACGUGGGCAACCUGCCCCUGACUUCGGGAUAACUCCUCGAAGAGGAGCUAAUACCGGAUACGACCACUUCGGACAUCCGAUGGUGGUGGAAAGUUUUUCGGUCAGGGAUGGGCCCGCGGCCUAUCAGCUAGUUGGUGGGGUAAUGGCCUACCAAGGCGACGACGGGUAGCCGGCCUGAGAGGGCGACCGGCCACACUGGGACUGAGACACGGCCCAGACUCCUACGGGAGGCAGCAGUGGGGAAUAUUGCGCAAUGGGCGAAAGCCUGACGCAGCGACGCCGCGUGAGGGAUGAAGGCCUUCGGUUGUAAACCGUCUUUCUAGCAGGACGAAGCGAAAGUAGACGGUACCGUGCAGAAGAAGCACCGGCUAACUACGUGCCA
rnacentral:rRNA from 1 species